rnacentral:ncRNA from 1 species
CUGAUAAGGGCAAACCCGGUGUAAACCGGUGACGCAAAGCUAAAGGGCCUCUAUAGGAGGCAGCCAGUUACCGU